AACAGGAUUAGAUACCCUGGUAGUCCACGCCGCAAACGAUGAGUGCUAAGUGUUAGAGGGUUUCCGCCCUUUAGUGCUGAAGUUAACGCAUUAAGCACUCCGCCUGGGGAGUACGGCCGCAAGGCUGAAACUCAAAGGAAUUGACGGGGGCCCGCACAAGCGGUGGAGCAUGUGGCUUAAUUCGAAGCAACGCGAAGAACCUUACCAGGUCUUGACAUCCUCUGAAAACCCUAGAGAUAGGGCUUCUCCUUCGGGAGCAGAGUGACAGGUGGUGCAUGGUUGUCGUCAGCUCGUGUCGUGAGAUGUUGGGUUAAGUCCCGCAACGAGCGCAACCCUUGAUCUUAGUUGCCAUCAUUAAGUUGGGCACUCUAAGGUGACUGCCGGUGACAAACCGGAGGAAGGUGGGGAUGACGUCAAAUCAUCAUGCCCCUUAUGACCUGGGCUACACACGUGCUACAAUGGACGGUACAAAGAGCUGCAAGACCGCGAGGUGGAGCUAAUCUCAUAAAACCGUUCUCAGUUCGGAUUGUAGGCUGCAACUCGCCUACAUGAAGCUGGAACCGCUAGUAAUCGCGGAUCAGCAUGCCGCGGUGAAUACGUUCCCGGGCCUUGUACACACCGCCCGUCACACCACGAGAGUUUGUAACACCCGAAGUCGGUGGGGUAACCUUUUUGGAGCCAGCCGCCUAAGGUGGGACAGAUGAUUGGGGUGAAGUCGUAACAAGGUAACC
rnacentral:rRNA from 1 species